GCGCAGCAGUCGCGAAUAGUCUACAAUGGACGAAAGUCUGAUAGUGCGACGCCGUGUGUGCGAUUAAUUCCUUCGGGAUGUAAAGCACUUUUCUAUGAGAUAAAAGCUCUUUAGGUUAAUAGCUUAUUGAGACGGAUAUUAUUAUAGGAAUAAGCUCCGGCUAACUCCGUGCCAGCAGCCGCGGUAAUACGGAAGGAGCGAGCGUUGUCCGGAUUUACUAGGCGUAAAGGGCUAGUAGGCGACUAAUUAAGUUAUAUGUUAAAUCCCACGGCUCAACUGUGGUCCUGCAUGUAAUACUGGUUAGAUAGAGUACUGUAGAGGAAGGCAGAAUUCCUGGAGUAGCGGUGGAAUGCGCAGAUAUCAGGAAGAAAUACCAAAAGCGAAGGCAGACCUUCUGGGCAGUUACUGACGCUGAAUAGCGAAGGUGUGGGUAGCGAAC
rnacentral:rRNA from 1 species